AAGAGUAUUGGAUGUAUUUGUUGUUGUUGUUGUUGUUGUUGUUAUAUGGUAUGAAAUAGUGUUGCAUACAUAUGUUUAUUUCUGCCUGAUGCUGCUGCUAAAAGUCAUGUGAUUCUUUGAAAAUGUUCAUCUAACAUGAAGUGAGAAAGGAGGAGUUCACUGGACAUCAACGCUCAAAUCUGAAAUAUGUCGUUUUACUUUUGAGCUUCUUCUGCUCUUAGACCAAAGGCAAUAAUCACAGCUCAGGCUCUCAGGCCUAAGGCAAUAAUCGCAGCUCAGUGCCUUCGGUGUCACACCAGCCUUCCGUAAUAUGCUGAUCUGCAGCUCAAAAACCAGGCUUUCAGGCUGAAGGUAAUAAUCACGUUCCAGGUAAGGAAGAAUAAAACUGUACAAUUAUCUUAUAAAAAUGCCUGUCUGCCUGUCUGCCUAUUUAUCUUGACAGACCUGAUGUGUUAUAGAUGCGGAGAUGUGUUGUGAGCCAGGUUACUGUCAUGGAAAUAUUCAUAUUCCUGUCAUCACAAUCCUCUGUAUAGCCUUACUGCUUUCUAUUGCUGUAAAUGUGUACUUCAUUUGCAUGCAGAUAUUUAGAGAGCAGUGCCAGACCUUUUAUAACAAUUAUAUUGACGUUUGCUUCAGCGGUAACGCAACAAGCGAGCCUGAGGAAUCGGAUACAGAACAGGAUCAAGCUGACAUGCAGUACUCCACAGUUAAUAUUUCCACUAAAAAUGAGGGGUGUGAGGUCCAGUCCAAAGAGAUCGGGGUAGACUGUGUGUAUUCUGCUGUCAAACACUCUGGGAAGGCGUGAUCAGCACUUUUAUAUAAAAUUAAAUUUUAAAAAAAUCCAGCAGCAUAAUGUUUAUUUCACAGCUCGGAGCUGGAUAAAGCUGCAUUUGGCCAUUUUUCACACCCACAGACUAAUAAUAAUGUCUGAUCUUUUCUCCUACAGGUAUGCUGAUAAAAAUGAUUUACUGACAAUGCUGCAAACAGUUUAUAUGAGCUGAAUUUAAACAAAGAAUUAAGUUGAAAAUCACUACAUUUCAUUUGUUUGUUUAAAUUUAGCUUAUAUAAAUUGUUUGCAACAAUUUGCAAUGAAUCAAUUUUUCAGUAUAGGAGAAAUUAUCAGACAUUAUUAUUAGUCUGUGGGUGUGAAAACAUGGUCAAAUGCAACUUUAUCAAGCUCAGUGGCUUCGAGGUGUGAAAUAAACAAUAUCAGAAUCAGAAAGAGCUUUAUUGCCAGGUAUGUUCACGCAUAAGAGGAAUUUGUUUUCGUGACAGAGCUUCUACAGUAUAACAGGAUAACAGAGACAGGACAAAAAACAGAUAAUAAAUAUAUAUUUUUAAAAAUACAAGUAAGUAGUGAAUGCAAAUAUACAAAUUGACAAGUGUAUGUAGGUGUUUAUUACUAUAUACAAUGUUAUAUGUGCAGCUGUUAUGUGCAAAUUGGCAUGUAAAGUGUGUUGUUAAAUAAGUGUAUAUGUGUAUAAAAGUUUCACUAUGAAACCUAACCCUAACCACUUACCUUUAAAAAAAAUUGUAAAUCCAAUGAAUCAUUA